UGUAGAGUGAUGCAGAAGCCACAGUGGGUCCAUGUAGCACAGAGAAAAAGCAGUCUGUGUCUUCUGGAGUCAGAUUAGCCUGGGUUUGAAUCCUAGAUCUACUGCUUACUGGCUGGGUAACCUCAGACAAACUGACCUUCCUGAGGCUGUGUCCUCACCUGAAAAAUCACAUCACCUCAGAGCAUUCUGGAGUUGAUGAAAUGAGAUUAUGCAUGUAAGCACCGGGAAGAUGCCUGACACAGAGGAUGUGACCAAUAAGCGUGACUAUUCCUUCUAUAGAGAACGAGCAGUGCACUAAGGAUGCCCGGAAAAAAACAGAACGAU
rnacentral:lncRNA from 1 species